rnacentral:rRNA from 1 species
CUGACGGCCAUAGCGGUGGGGAAACACCCGGUCCCAUUCCGAACCCGGAAGUUAAGUCCACCAGCGUGCUCUGUGGUACUGUGGUGCGCGAGCCCACGGGACGCUUAGGUCCCAUAGC